rnacentral:rRNA from 1 species
GACGAACGCUGGCGGCGUGCUUAACACAUGCAAGUCGAACGGAAAGGCCCUGCUUUUGUGGGGUGCUCGAGUGGCGAACGGGUGAGUAACACGUGAGUAACCUGCCCUUGACUUUGGGAUAACUUCAGGAAACUGGGGCUAAUACCGGAUAGGAGCUCCUGCUGAAUGGUGGGGGUUGGAAAGUUUCGGCGGUUGGGGAUGGACUCGCGGCUUAUCAGCUUGUUGGUGGGGUAGUGGCUUACCAAGGCUUUGACGGGUAGCCGGCCUGAGAGGGUGACCGGCCACAUUGGGACUGAGAUGCGGCCCAGACUCCUACGGGAGGCAGCGGUGGGGAAUAUUGCACAAUGGGCGGAAGCCUGAUGCAGCAACGCCGCGUGCGGGAUGACGGCCUUCGGGUUGUAAACCGCUUUCGCCUGUGACGAAGCGUGAGUGACGGUAAUGUGUAAAGAAGCACCGGCUAACUACGUG